rnacentral:tRNA from 1 species
GCCGAACGUUAGGCAGUAGUUUGUAGCCCUACACAAGGGGUUUAAUUCCCCAUUUAUCAAAGCCCCGAGGUGUUCCACGUCAAAAUGCAAAUUCGA